rnacentral:tmRNA from 1 species
GGGGGCGAGCUUGGUUUCGACGGGGAUAAGGAGCCCGGAGUAGCGAGUCGCUGUCGCCAAGCAGCGUAAAAAGUGGCAACUAAAUUUUAAACGCAGAUAAUAAUAAUUUUGCACUAGCUGCCUAAUAGCAGCUUAAUGAUCUGUUAAAGGUAUCCCGCAGCCUUUAACCGGUCUCAAAUUUAGCGGGGAACCGCAUAUGACAAAGCUUUGAGUCAUAGACGGAAUUUAUGAAGCUACCUGAAAUAAAAUCCUUUCAGUCGGAGUUUAUUGACGGGAAUUACAAAAGACUGAAUGCACUCGGAGAAGCUCCCUGUGAUUUAUUUUCGGACGUGGGUUCGACACCCACCGCCUCCACCA